rnacentral:tRNA from 1 species
GGCCUCGUAGCUCAGCUGGUAGAGCAUGCGCGUGCAAUGUGUAAGCGGUGUCCAUGCAUGGGUUCAAAUCCCACCGAGGCUA